UCGGGUGUGGUGCGCGGCGCACGUUGGCCUUUCUUGACGCCGAAAUAGAAGACUUAAGCUGCAGAUCGGGGUUCGACUCCCCGCACCCGAA